rnacentral:rRNA from 1 species
GGCAUGGCUGUCGUCAGCUCGUGUCGUGAGAUGUUCGGGUUAAGUCCCGCAACGAGCGCAACCUUACCCUUAGUGUUUCCCGAAAGGAUUACCCUCUAAGGGGACUGCCCCGGACAACGGGGAGGAAGGUGGGGGAUGACGUCAAGUCCGCAUGCUCCUUACGUCUAGGGCUACACACGUCCUACAAUGGGGUCGACAGUGGGAUGCAAAGCCGCGAGGUGGAGCCAAUCCCCAAACGGCCUCUCAGUUCGGAUAGUAGUCUGCAACUCGACUACUUGAAGUCGGAAUCGCUAGUAAUGGCGGAUCAGCAUGCCGCCGUGAAUACGUUCCCGGGUCUU